UACUCAUGUUGGGGGAUUUUCCAGGGUGU
rnacentral:piRNA from 1 species